GAUUGUCCACAAUCCACCCCCAACACUGACUAUUUUUAAAUUACUUUAUGCGCAAGUGUGUAUGUGUAUAUAAAUAAUUGGGGGCAAAUUUAUAAGUGAUUGUCCACUAUCCUCCCCAACAAAUAGGUUUUAUAAGCGAGGGGGAGGCAAAUUUAUAAGUGAUUUUGCGCAAACCACUAUCCACCCCCAACACUGACUAUUUUUUUAUAUUAACCCAGGCGGCCGCGAUGGGAUUUGAACCGACGUCGAAUGUGUAUAUGCGUGUAUAUGUGUUAAUGUGUGUAAAUGGGGGAGGCAAAUUUAUAAAUGAUGGGGUAAUUUUCCCCCAGACCAUUAUCCUCCCCCAUAAUAUAAUAUCCAUAAAUGGGAAUAUAUAAAUGAUAUAAAUCCCAAUAUUUACAGGAAUACAACCCUUUUCGCUGUCCCGAUUAGCGCUGUUUCGAUAUAACGCUGUGCAAUUACAUUACAUUGCAAUACAUUGUUACAUUGUAUAUGAAGAGUAAAAAUGCAUUAUGUAAAUUAUGCAAAAAUAACCCCACUUUGCGCUGUUGUUUCGCUUUACGCUCAAUAUUUUUGGAACGUAACCCUGCGUUAAGCGGGGUAUUACUGUAUAUUUGUAUUAUAUCACUGUAUAUAUGUUGCAUUACUGGCUGCGCAUGCUUCUGCCUAUUUCUACUUUCCCCUAUUUCGACCGAGAAUGUCGGUGAGAGAGAACGAGCACGUUUUUCAGCCGAAAAUUCCGAGUCUGGAACACUAACACACACAACUCGACAACAAAUAAAAAUCCGAUUUUCACAAACGAUCCCACGACAUAUUUAUUAUUAAAUAUUGUUCGUUUUGCAUUCAAUUGAUUCUCACUACAACAAUGGUUCAUCAUUAUUAUCAAUUUGUAGAAACCAUAAAGGUGAUAUUCCAAUUGUAUCAGUAAAAAAGAUGAAUAGCUGUUCGCUAUUUUUAGGCAUUGGUAAUCUUUUGGUUUGGUUUUCAUUAUUACGUUAUUUUGCCUAUUUUCAAUCAUAAAACAUUCUCUUAUUGUAACAUUGAAGAAAUCUUUUCCAAACGUUUUGCGGUUCUGUCUCUGUGCAUUUUUAGUUUAUGGAGGAUUUUGUUUUUGUGGUUGGGUCGUUUUGGGUCCUCAUCUCAAAUUUCGUACGCUUAGUUCAACAUUGGAAUGUUUGUUUUCACUUAUAAACGGUGAUGAUAUGUUUGCUACAUUUUUUUCCACUGAUGUGAAAAAAGUCUUAUAUGGUGGUUUAGUCGCAUUUAUCUUUAUCUUUUCAUUUCAUUGUCCAUAUAUGUGAUAUUCUCGUUGCCAUAAUACUCGAUGCAUACGAACGGUUCCUAUUUUUUUUAAUAACAUGAAAACUUUUUUUAAUUUUUAUUUAAGAAAUUUUUAUUUAUGAUUGAAAUUUUUGAAAACAAAAUUUUAAAAAUACUUGCGCAUUCACUGUCUGAUCAGACAAUUUGCAUCUUAUUUCUUAAAGAUCAAUGUCAUUGGAGACAGUGAAGCGCAAAUGAUGGUUUUAACAGCAAUUGGUUCAAAAAAAAAAAAUACUUAAAACAAUAAUGUGCAACAAUUGAUUGAUAAUAUAUAAUCAUAA